CAUGCGAGUCGAGAGGGUUAGACCCUCGGCGGACGGCUCAGUAACACGUGGGUAAUCUACCCUCAGGACAGGGAUAACCCCGGGAAACUGGGGAUAAUACCUGAUAGGUGGAGAGGUCUGGAAUGAUUCUUCGCUUAAAGCCCCGGCGCCUGAGGAUGAGCCUGCGCCUGAUUAGGUUGUUGGCGGUGUAAUGGACCACCAAGCCGAAGAUCAGUACGGGCAGUGAGAGCUGUAGCCCGGAGAUGGGGGCUGAGACACGGCCCCAGGCCCUACGGGGCGCAGCAGGCGCGAAAACUCCGCAAUGUUCGAAAGAACGACGGGGGAACUCCAAGUGCACUUGCGCAAGUAAGUGGUUUUNAGUAGUGUAAAUAGCUGUUAGAAUGAGAGCUGGGUAAGACCGGUGCCAGCCGCCACGGUAACACCGGCAGCUCGAGUGGUGACCGCUUUUAUUGGGCCUAAAGCGUUCGUAGCCGGUUCAUUAAGUCUUUGGGCAAAUCUUCUCGCUUAACGAAAAGAAUUCCGAAGAUACUGCUGGACUUGGGGCCGAGAGAGGUUAGAGGUACUCCUGGGGUAGGGGUGAAAUCCUAUAAUCCUGGGGGGACCGCCAGUGGCGAAGGCGUCUAACCAGAGCGGACCCGAC
rnacentral:rRNA from 1 species